GACGUAGGGCGCGAGGCGUUGUCCGGAUUUAUUGGGCGUAAAGAGCUCGUAGGCGGCUUGUCGCGUCGACUGUGAAAUCCCGCGGCUCAACUGCGGGUCUGCAGUCGAUACGGGCAGGCUAGAGUUCGGGUAGGGGAGACUGGAAUUCCUGGUGUAGGCGGUAGAAAUGCGCAGAUAUCAGGAGGAACACCGGUGGCGAAGGCGGGUCUCUGGGCCGAUACUGACGUGAGGAGCGGAAAGCGUGGGGAGCGAACAGG
rnacentral:rRNA from 1 species